GGGUGCUAACGGGUGGGAAUCUGCCCUUAGGUUCGGAAUAACAGCUGGAAACGGCUGCUAAUACCGGAUGAUAUCGCGAGAUCAAAGAUUUAUCGCCUGAGGAUGAGCCCGCGUUGGAUUAGGUAGUUGGUGGGGUAAAGGCCUACCAAGCCGACGAUCCAUAGCUGGUCUGAGAGGA
rnacentral:rRNA from 1 species